UGGGGAAUAUUGCACAAUGGAGGGAACUCUGAUGCAGCGACGCCGCGUGAGUGAUGAAGGAAUUCGUUUCGUAAAACUCUGUUCUAUGGGAAGAAAAGGACUGUACCAUAGGAGAAAGCUCCGGCUAAAUACGUGCCAGCAGCCGCGGUAAUACGUAUGGGGCAAGCGUUGUCCGGAAUUAUUGGGCGUAAAGGGUACGUAGGCGGUUUAAUAAGUCCUAAUUAAAAGGCUAUGGCUCAACCAUAGUAUGGUUAGGAAACUGUUGAACUUGAGUAGAUGAGGGGAAAGUGGAAUUCCAUGUGUAGCGGUGAAAUGCGUAGAUAUAUGGAGGAACACCAAUGGCGAAGGCAACUUUCUGGAAUCAAACUGACGCUGAGGUACGAAGGCGUGGGGAGCAAACAGG
rnacentral:rRNA from 1 species